UGAUACGCGAGGAACCUUACCCGGGCUUGAAAUGCAUCUGACCGGCCUUGAAAGAGGUUUUUCCCUUUCGGGGCAGAUGUGUAGGUGCUGCAUGGUUGUCGUCAGCUCGUGCCGUGAGGUGUCGGCUUAAGUGCCAUAACGAGCGCAACCCUCAUCAUUAGUUACCAUCAGGUAAGGCUGGGGACUCUAAUGAGACUGCCAUCGUAAGAUGUGAGGAAGGUGGGGAUGACGUCAAAUCAGCACGGCCCUUACGUCCGGGGCGACACACGUGUUACAAUGGGUGGUACAAAGGGCAGCUACCUGGCGACAGGAUGCUAAUCUCCAAAACCACUCUCAGUUCGGAUCGGAGUCUGCAACUCGACUCCGUGAAGCUGGAUUCGCUAGUAAUCGCGCAUCAGCCACGGCGCGGUGAAUACGUUCCCGGGCCUU
rnacentral:rRNA from 1 species